GUUGGAUUUCCUAUAGGUUUCAAACUGCAUGCUGUGGUCAAGACUCAAGUUCUGAGGAUCUCAAGAUGAUCUUCAGCUUUUCCUUUACACUGUGUUUAUGGAUUAAACCCUUAUGUUUUUUCUGACUGCUUCUAAAUGACUUCAAGAGGAAAGGUUUAGGCAGGAACUGUGGACCUUGCAAAGUUAACAGCCCUGCCCAUAGGAAAGGAUGGAUUCGUAAUAGCUGAAGGAGAUGCACAUUUAGGAGGAGAAAGUAUGAGAACAC